AGGGGUUAGACUACAUUUGCCCCCUGCCUAUUUCUCUAGGAAUUGCCAGUUUAACAAAGCUUUGGAGAAGAGGACCCAAAGCAGGGACCUGAUAAAGUUGGCAUUUGAACACAUACCUCACAGCCCAGUAUUUGGCACAUCUUUGCCUUCAGAGAAAAAAGGUCUAUGUUUGAGUAAGUCAAAACUAUUCAAGUGGCUCCCUCGGCCUUAGCGCCAUCUUCUCGGAAACCUCUGCGCCAUGAGAGCCAAGUGGAGGAAGAAGCGAAUGCGCAGGCUGAAGCGCAAAAGAAGAAAGAUGAGGCAGAGGUCCAAGUAAACUAGCUUGUGCACCGUGGAGGCCAAAGGAGUGCCAGGGGCCGGGGACGUUGGUACAAGUUGGGCUGUCUCCUACUGUCCACAUUUUGUCUCGGUGGAUUUAAGAACUUACAUCGCCACCUCGUCGUCAAGAUCACCACUGAGAGAAGACCCACCUUGCUUUUAACAUCCCCUGUUGGUCCUUUGCCCGGGACCUUUGGCAUUCUGGACUAACUCGUUUCUCAGUUGUGGCCAGUGUAACGCGUGUACAAUAAAUCAUCCCUUCUGUUUUAGCUGAAAAAAAAAAAACUAUUCAAGUGUAUGGGGCUAGGAGCU
rnacentral:lncRNA from 1 species